UGUGACAACCUGUAAUUAACGGCCUUCUAAUUUCGCGAUUAACAAACGUUUAGGUGAUAACAAAUAAUGUUAAGACACGAAUUAGCUUAAUUAGGCUAUUGGAAUGCCUAGGAACGCUAAUCAGAUGUUACAAUGCGCAUAUGAGGAUUUUCGGGAAAACUGCGUAACGUUAAACGAUAACGAACUGAUGUCGUACAAAAGACUGGCCAUGCAGACAAAUACAAAUUUUAUACGUAUAAUUUAAACUUAUGAAUGUGGUUUUGUGAAAACAUCACGCUUUCGAAUGUUACAAAACGCAAACGUGAACGAAAAACGCGACCGAAGGAACGCACCGGCAACGAAACAAAAGCACCGGACUCGAGUUACGACCCAAUAUUAAUAUAUUAUGAUAUAUUUAACUUCGUUUUCAAAAUUUAUUAUCCGUAUUUGAAAACGGAUCGCAAAACGGACACGAAACGACGAACGACACAGUUUAUGCGUUUUUAACGCAACCGACAAAAAUACGCGUCAAACAUCGCCUCCCGAUGCUCUUUUACAUAUUUUUGAUCUUAAAAAGGGUAGUAUUAGGUAUUUUCAUUGCGCAAGUUGUAAAUUAUAUUUACAAUAUGCGGUUAGCGCGGCACGAAUAAUAGGUAAAUAUAUUUUAUACAUCGGACACGUUCAUAAAUAAUUUUAUGAGAUUAUAUGCACAAGUUUAUUUUCUUUUAUGCAUUAAUAUUCCAUGAUCUUUCGUAUUCUUUAUUUUUUUAUACGCACCCUCGUAUUUUCAAAGAUUUCUAGAUCACGAUCACGCACAUAUGGUUAUUUAAACGUAUAAAAUAUACAUACUUUGACAUGUAUAUAUAUCAAAAUCAUAUGUUUAUUUUUUUAUAUAGAACUUCACAAAAAAAAAAAAAAAAGAGUUCCACGCCAAAUUUGUAUAUCCUCGAAAACGCUUGUUUUUGUCGAAACCGAAAUCGAACUGACGUUAAACAUGCGUUCGUACAUGAAACCAUCCAAAAACAUUUUUCUAGCUGAAUUCUAAUUUUGCCAAGUUGGUUAGAGCAUAUUACUUCUUCUUCUUUUUUUUUUUUUUUUUUUGAGAUAAACAUUUUUAUGAUUUUCCUUGAUGGCUGAGUGACAUACUUGCCAAAGUUGGACUUUUAUAUCCAAAGCAUGGUAAUAUCAAUACUCAUGACAUCCUAUACCAUAUUUUCUUUAUCUCAUGACCAUCCGAUCACAUCAUCAUCAUUACAUAUAUUCAUGCCAUACACAUUAAUUUUUAUUAUACAUUCCUUGAUAUAUUUGGUGGAUUUUGUCAAACCAACUCCUCCUGGACCCAUACCCAUCGACCAUACCCUAUUAAUUGUGCUUCAUCCUUAUCAUUUAAACACAAGACCAUUUCAUUCUAUUUUCCACUCUCCAAAACCAAAAACAAGAGCACACACACAAGCCACAAAUUGAAUUUCAAGAUUCAAGGUCAAGCUUCAAACCGUUCAUGCCUUGUUUGUUUUUGGCACGAGUAGAUCAUUUCAUGUAGACACGGACUUUGCUAUUUGCUAUUUGCUUUGCCACAUUUGUUUGCACAUCAGGUUGCAUUUUCAAAACUAUGGAACGGUUGGAAUAGGAGAACCCAUGGGAAUUCGAGUACUUAGCAGGCAUUCAUUGUUUAGAAGUCUUAGCUUAUUGCUUCCGCUGUGCAAUGAAGAUACCGGUCCAGUCACGCCAGCUCUGAUUUUUCGGGGUGUGACA